rnacentral:ncRNA from 1 species
AAAAACAUGACGACAGGAAAUAGUAGCAAGUGCUUCUUUCUUAGAGAGCCGGUGGCUGGUGAAAAUCGGUGUUAGAUCCUUGUGAAUCCAUCCUUGAAUGAGAUGUUGAAAUUUUCGGAGAGUAGACAUGUCCGGUACAGGCCGUUAUCCUGCUUAAGAGGAAGGCAAUCUGCCUUCAAUUAGGGUGGCAACGCGGAUAUAACUUCCGUCCCUUUA